GACGAACGCUGGCGGCGGGCUUAACACAUGCAAGUCGAACGGAAAGGCCGUGCUUUGGGGCGGUCCUCGGGUGGCCAACGGGGGAGGAACACGUGGGUAACCUACCCUUGACGGUGACAUAACUUCAUGAAAGUUGGGCCCAUACCGGGUAGGAUUUCCUGCUGCAGGGGGGGGGCUGGAAAGUUUCGGCGGUUGGGGAUGGACUCGCGGCUUAUCAGCUUGUUGGUGGGGUGGUGGCUUAGCAAGGCUUUGACGGGUAGCCGGGCUGGGAGGGUGACCGGCUACGUUGGGCUGGGGCUGCGGCCCGGACUCGUCCGGGAGGCAGCAGAGGGGAAGGUUGCACAGCGGGCGGAGGCAUGAUCCAGCAAAGCCGCGCGCGGGGUGUCGGCCUUGGGGUUGGAAACCGCAUUCGCCUGUGCCGAGGCGUGAGUGACGGUACUGGGUAAAGAAGCACCGGCUAACUACGUG
rnacentral:rRNA from 1 species